GACGAACGCUGGCGGCGUGCUUAACACAUGCAAGUCGAACGAAGUGGCGAACGGGUGAGUAACGCGUAAUCAACCUGCCCUUCUGAGGGGGACAACAGUUGGAAACGACUGCUAAUACCGCAUACUGAAGGAGGGGAUUGCGUCGGAUUAGCUAGUUGGAGGGGUAACGGCCCACCAAGGCGAUGAUCAGUAGCCGGUCGGAGAGGGUGACCGGCCAGAUGGGGACUGAGAUACGGCCCAGGAUCCUACGGGAGGCAGCAGUGGGGGAUAUUGCACAAUGUCGAAAGCCCGAUGCAGGGACGUCGCGUGGGGGAUGAAGGCUUGCGGGUUGUAAACCUCUUUCGCUAUCGAACGGGUAGGUGGAGAAGAAGCGCCGGCUAACUACGUGCCAGCAGCCGCGGUAAUUC
rnacentral:rRNA from 1 species